rnacentral:rRNA from 1 species
CAAGAUGAGAUAUCCCAAUAAGUAAGACCCCUUAGAGAGUAUGAGGUAGAUAGGCUGGAGGUGGAAGUGCAGUAAUGUAUGUAGCUGACCAGUACUAAUCGGUCGAGGGCUUAUCCUGA